AAUUAAACUCCCAUCGCCGUAAGCAUAAUAAAACGGGGGACAGGAAAAAGAGGAACACUCAGAAAUUUCAAUGGAUUCAAGUGGACAUUGAGAAAUUGCACAGAGGUGAGAGGCGGAGAGGGAGCCACCAUGGGCGGCGGAGCAGGCGGGUGCGCUGCAAGAAACUGAUUUGUUAUUUGAGAUUUUGGGCAAAGGGGAUUGAAUUUUUGGUUUGCCUUCACAAAGAAUACAUUCAAACGGGGAACAGGGGAACCAAACGAGGUCGCUGCCGGUGUCCAUGUAGAGGGAAAUUUUGUGAGACUCAGAGCCGAGGUUGAAGGAGAGAGUGUAAUCGCCGCCAGGGGAGAGGGGGAGAGAGAGGUGGCUGCGGUGGUGAGCACGGCGGCGGUGGUGGAAUCGAGCGGAGGAGCGGGCGGCGGUGGAUUUGAGGAGGUUGUGGGUGUUGUUGAAAUCUGAAAUUGAGGAUGAUAAGGAAUGGGUAAGAGGUAGGAGGAGAAUUUGUGAGGAGAAAACAGGGGAAGAGAGGA
rnacentral:misc_RNA from 1 species